ensembl:snRNA U6 U6 spliceosomal RNA
GUACACACUUUGGCACCACAUAUAAUAAAACUGAAUGGUGUAAAGCAGAGCAGCAUGCCUCUACAUAAGAAUGACAUGCAAAUUUGUGAAGACUUCCAUAUUUUU